AACGAACGCUGGCGGCAGGCUUAACACAUGCAAGUCGAACGGUUGUAGCAAUACAGCAGUGGCGCACGGGUGAGUAACACGUGGGAAUAUCCCUUUCAGUACGGAAUAACGUCGGGAAACUGACGCUAAUAUCGUAUCCACCUCCGGGUGAAAGAUUUAUCGCUGAGAGAUUAGCCCGCGUCAGAUUAGCUAGUUGGUGGGGUGACGGCCUACCAAGGCUCCGAUCUGUAGCUGGUCUUAGAGGACGAUAAGCCACACUGGAACUGAGACACGGUCCAGACUCCUGCGGGAGGCAGCAGUGGGGAAUAUUGGACAAUGGGGGAAGCCCUGAUCCAGCCAUGCCGCGUGAGUGAUGAAGGCCUUCGGGUUGUAAAGCUCUUUUGUCAGGGAAGAUGAUGACUGUACCUGAAGAAUAAGCCCCGGCUAACUUCGUGCCAGCAGCCGCCGUAAAAC
rnacentral:rRNA from 1 species